rnacentral:rRNA from 1 species
UACGUAGGGUGCAGGCGUUAAUCGGAAUUACUGGGCGUAAAGCGUGCGCAGGCGGUUUGCUAAGACAGGUGUGAAAUCCCCGGGCUUAACCUGGGAACUGCGCUUGUAACUGGCAAGCUAGAGUGUGGCAGAGGGGGGUGGAAUUCCACGUGUAGCAGUGAAAUGCGUAGAGAUCGGCAGGAACACCCAGGGGGAAACCAGUCGACUGGGCAUCUACUGACGCUGAGGUGCGAGAGCGUGGGGAGCGAACCGG